rfam:Loxodonta africana unplaced genomic scaffold scaffold_49, whole genome shotgun sequence.
ACACUGGUGGUUCAGUGGUAGAAUUCUCGCCUUCCAUGCGGGGAGACUCAGGUUCAAUUCCCAGCCAAGGCA